rnacentral:lncRNA from 1 species
CGAUGGCCUCGACGUCAUCGUUCAAGCGGAAGUGCAGCUCCUUGGACGACUCCAGCGCCAAAUGCGGCGGCGCGUCGUCGGGCAGCCGCUGUCACUGCCCUAAGAAAAGGUAAACAGAAGAAAAUUAAUCAAAAUAGAAAAUAAAAUUAAAGUCAACUCCCGGAAAUGAAAAAAAACGAAAUAAUCAAAGUUAAUCACACCAUUAGAUUUGAUAAAUCGAUGAUGCUGAUAGUGUGAUCUGUAACAGGAAAUCAAGAUUGAAGAAGGUAGUGAGAGUGCCUGCUAUAAGCAUGAAGAUGGCCGAUAUUCCACCUGAUGAUUACUCCUGGAGAAAAUACGGUCAAAAGCCCAUCAAGGGCUCUCC